UACGUAGGGGGCAAGCGUUGUCCGGAUUUAUUGGGCGUAAAGAGCGUGUAGGCGGUCACACAGGUCAGCUGUGAAAACUCGAGGCUCAACCUCGAGACGUCGGUUGAAACCGUAUGGCUAGAGUCCGGAAGAGGAGAGUGGAAUUCCCGGUGUAGCGGUGAAAUGCGCAGAUAUCGGGAAGAACACCCGUGGCGAAGGCGGCUCUCUGGGCAACAACUGACGCUGAGGAGCGAAAGCGUGGGGAGCGAACAGG
rnacentral:rRNA from 1 species